AAAAAAAAAAAACGAACCUGUUUAUCUGGGGUUGGGGAUUUAGCUCAGUGGUAGAGCGCUUGCCUAGCAAGCACAAGGCCCUGGGUUUGGUCCCCAGCUCUGAAAAAAAGAAAAAAGAAAAAAAAAAAAAAAAAAAAGAACCUGUUUAUCUGUCAGGGACCGGACUUCCACCUAAGGAAAGCUAGAGCCCUGCCCUGAGCAGAUUCCUGAGAAGGGCUUGACCUUUUCAAAGAACUUGUCCCCGGAAGACUGUUGGCUCAUUGUCUAAGGAGAAUAUCUUGCAGUUUAAUGAUUCACCUUAUGUCCUUGGGCACUUCCCAGUACUCACGCCCCCCUCCCCCAGCUUCAGUUCCUGCUUCAAUUCCUGCUUCAGAGCUUUAAAUGCUGUACAUUCCUCUCAAUAAACAGACCUAGACAAAGACACUGCUUGGUCUCGCUCCUCUUUCUCGCCCGUUCUCCCGCAGGUAUAGGUCCCCCUCGACCCCCACAAAUAACUGGGUCCCAGCUGGCAGGGGCAUUUAUCAGGGUUGGGGAUUUAGCUCAGUGGUAGAGCGCUUGCCUAGCAAGUGCAAGGCCCUGGGUUCAGUCCCCAGCUCUGGAAAAAAAG
rnacentral:lncRNA from 1 species